rnacentral:lncRNA from 10 species
UUGGUCAGCUGGUCCUUGUCACGGGACAGAAACUGUGGGGUCAGGACAAUAAACACCUUCACGACCUGCAGAACGAGGGCAGAGGCUUAUGGUACUGGGAGAUCCACAGGGAAGACACUGGGACAUCCUAGAAGCUGGGAAAUGAAAAGAAGAGUGAAGAAUGCAACCACACAUGGAUGGAUGGUCUUUUCCAUAACAUAAUGCCUGCCUCUCAGGCUCCAAUUCCAAAGCGAAUCAUUUACAGUUAAUUUCUGUCUCCUGGGUUGAUCAUUCUCCCUAACCAUCACUUGCUGCCCCUCAAAGGAAUUGUCUACAUUCCCUAUCUCCUCCUUACCCUGUGAAAAAGGGUAUGUCAGCUUCUAUACCCCAUUGGGAGGUUGGGAAAUCACUGACUCUCCCCUGCCCCAUACAUUAAUUCAUCUGUAUGCCUUUUCUUCUAUUAAAAAUAAGUGAAAACUCAGUAAGACACCAUUUUACCCCACUGUAUUAGCAAACCUUUAAAAAUCUGACAAUUUCAAGUCUUUCCAGUGAAUCAUAGUGUUACUGGUGGCAAAUCCCUAGGGGGCUGCAGCAACCUCAAUUCUUGCCUCCUCAGCAGAAAGAAUUUGACCAACAGCAUAAUACGGCAGAAUGAGAGACCAAGGCAAGUUUUAGAGCAGCAGUGAAAGUUUAUUAAAAAACUAGGCCUGGCUCGGUGGCACAUGCCUGUAAUCCUAGCACUUUGGGAAGCCGAGGCGAGCAGAUCACAUGAGGUCAGGAGUUUCAGACCAGUCU